UCAAAAUAAAUCAAAUUUAGGUAUAAUGAUGGAUAAAUAUUAUACACAAUCCAAUUAGACCCACUUGGAGCCUACAUGUUGGAUCUAAAGAGCGCAAUUUUAUACUAGCAGCCAUAAGAUUAAUAGAACAUAGACUCAUAUAAUUCUUGUUUGAUAACUCAAGUUUAUGUUGGCUAUAUAUUUAGCUAUAGGAUGCACUAGAUUUGUGAAAACCACAAAAUAUUGAACAAAAGUUUUAUAGGUGCAUUUCUAUAUCACAAGAGAUCGAGCUAAUGCUAUGCUAUACAAUUGAAUUAUCCAAAGAGAAUUAGACUAUGCUCUAAAAGAAGCAGUACCAAAGUAAACUAUUAGUAUGGGUGGGA
rnacentral:lncRNA from 1 species